rnacentral:rRNA from 1 species
UACGUAGGGUGCAGGCGUUAAUCGGAAUUACUGGGCGUAAAGCGCGCGUAGGCGGCUUUGCAAGUCGGGUGUGAAAUCCCCAGGCUUAACCUGGGAACUGCAUUCGAGACUGCAUUGCUAGAGUAUGGGAGAGGGAAGUGGAAUUUCAGGUGUAGCGGUGAAAUGCGUAGAUAUCUGAAGGAACAUCAGUGGCGAAAGCGACUUCCUGGACCAAUACUGACGCUCAUGUGCGAAAGCGUGGGGAGCAAACAGG